UGACAUGGACAAGGGGUGGUGGGUAGC
rnacentral:piRNA from 1 species